UGCCAGCAGCCGCGGUAAUACUGAAGGUGCAAGCGUUAAUCGGAAUCACUGGGCGUAAAGCGCUCGUAGGUGGCUUUGUAAGUCAGAUGUGAAAGCCCACGGCUCAACCGUGGAAUUGCAUUUGAUACUGCAUCACUAGAGUAUAGGAGAGGGAAGUGGAAUUUCUGGUGUAGCGGUGAAAUGCGUAGAUAUUAGGAAGAACACCAGUGGCGAAGGCGACUUUCUGGACUGUAACUGACGCUGAGGUACGAAAGCGUGGGGAGCGAACAGGAUUAGAUA
rnacentral:rRNA from 1 species